CUACGUGCCAGCAGCCGCGGUAAUACGUAGGUGGCGAGCGUUGUCCGGAAUUAUUGGGCGUAAAGGGAGCGCAGGCGGGCGAGUAAGUCUUUCUUAAAAGUGCGGGGCUCAACCCCGUGAGGGGAGAGAAACUACUCAUCUUGAGUGCAGGAGAGGAAAGCGGAAUUCCUAGUGUAGCGGUGAAAUGCGUAGAUAUUAGGAAGAACACCAGUGGCGAAGGCGGCUUUCUGGACUGUAACUGACGCUGAGGCUCGAAAGCCAGGGGAGCGAACGGGAUUAGAUACCCCGGUAGUCCUGGCCGUAAACGAUGGGUACUAGGUGUAGGAGGUAUCGACCCCUUCUGUGCCGGAGUUAACGCAAUAAGUACCCCGCCUGGGGAGUACGACCGCAAGGUUGAAACUCAAAGGAAUUGACGGGGGCCCGCACAAGCGGUGGAGUAUGUGGUUUAAUUCGACGCAACGCGAAGAACCUUACCAGGUCUUGACAU
rnacentral:rRNA from 1 species